ensembl:snRNA U6 U6 spliceosomal RNA
GUGCUCGCUUCAGCAGCAUACAUACUAAAACUGGAACAUAACAGAGAUUAGCAUUGCCCCUGUGCAAGGAUGACACGCAAAUUCAUGAAGUGUCCCAUAUUAAA